rnacentral:lncRNA from 1 species
CCCCCACCCGUCUCCUCCUCUGCCAUAGCUCCAGAUCUCUAUCCAGGGGCCCUCUGCAGCCACCGGGGAUGGGGCUGAGGGCCGGCUGCUGCCUGCACGCAGAAGGCGGCUGCAGCUCGGGUGCCCAGGCGAGCUGGAGGUGCGUGGCCUGGUUGGCCUUGGGAUCUACCCAGCGCGCCCAGGCUGAGGGCCCCCCAGGCCGUGCCUCCCGCCCACUCCUCCACCUGAGGGAGAUCAGAGCCGUUUGUAUGGGCACUCGGCAGUCACCCCAUGUGGGGUUGAGCGGUGGGU